UACAGAGGGUGCAAGCGUUAAUCGGAAUUACUGGGCGUAAAGCGCGUGUAGGCGGGUUGCCAAGUCCGCUGUGAAAGCCCGAGGCUCAACCUCGGAGGGUCGGUGGAUACUGGCAGUCUUGAAGGUGCUAGGGGGAGAUGGAAUUACCGGUGUAGCGGUGAAAUGCGUAGAGAUCGGUAGGAACACCAGUGGCGAAGGCGGUCUCCUGGGGCAUUCUUGACGCUGAGACGCGAAAGCUGGGGGAGCGAACGGG
rnacentral:rRNA from 1 species